GUCUAGUGGCGCACGGGUGCGUAACGCGUGGGAAUCUGCCCUUGGGUUCGGAAUAACUUCGGGAAACUGAAGCUAAUACCGGAUGAUGACGAAAGUCCAAAGAUUUAUCGCCCAGGGAUGAGCCCGCGUAGGAUUAGCUAGUUGGUGGGGUAAAGGCUCACCAAGGCAACGAUCCUUAGCUGGUCUGAGAGGAUGAUCAGCCACACUGGGACUGAGACACGGCCCAGACUCCUACGGGAGGCAGCAGUAGGGAAUAUUGGACAAUGGGCGAAAGCCUGAUCCAGCAAUGCCGCGUGAGUGAUGAAGGCCUUAGGGUUGUAAAGCUCUUUUACCCGAGAUGAUAAUGACAGUAUCGGGAGAAUAAGCUCCGGCUAACUCCGUGCCAGCAGCCGCGGUAAUACGGAGGGAGCUAGCGUUGUUCGGAAUUACUGGGCGUAAAGCGCACGUAGGCGGCGAUUUAAGUCAGAGGUGAAAGCCCGGGGCUCAACCCCGGAACUGCCUUUGAGACUGGAUUGCUAGA
rnacentral:rRNA from 1 species